AGAGUUUGAUCCUGGCUCAGGAUGAACGCUAGCGACAGGCUUAACACAUGCAAGUCGAGGGGCAGCACAGGUAGCAAUACCGGGUGGCGACCGGCGCACGGGUGAGUAACGCGUAUGCAACUUACCUAUCAGAGGGGGAUAACCCGGCGAAAGUCGGACUAAUACCGCAUGAAGCAGGGGCCCCGCAUGGGGAUAUUUGCUAAAGAUUCAUCGCUGAUAGAUAGGCAUGCGUUCCAUUAGGCAGUUGGCGGGGUAACGGCCCACCAAACCGACGAUGGAUAGGGGUUCUGAGAGGAAGGUCCCCCACAUUGGUACUGAGACACGGACCAAACUCCUACGGGAGGCAGCAGUGAGGAAUAUUGGUCAAUGGCCGAGAGGCUGAACCAGCCAAGUCGCGUGAGGGAUGAAGGUUCUAUGGAUCGUAAACCUCUUUUAUAAGGGAAUAAAGUGCGGGACGUGUCCCGUUUUGUAUGUACCUUAUGAAUAAGGAUCGGCUAACUCCGUGCCAGCAGCCGCGGUAAUACGGAGGAUCCGAGCGUUAUCCGGAUUUAUUGGGUUUAAAGGGUGCGUAGGCGGCCUUUUAAGUCAGCGGUGAAAGUCUGUGGCUCAACCAUAGAAUUGCCGUUGAAACUGGGGGGCUUGAGUAUGUUUGAGGCAGGCGGAAUGCGUGGUGUAGCGGUGAAAUGCAUAGAUAUCACGCAGAACCCCGAUUGCGAAGGCAGCCUGCCAAGCCAUGACUGACGCUGAUGCACGAAAGCGUGGGGAUCAAACAGGAUUAGAUACCCUGGUAGUCCACGCAGUAAACGAUGAUCACUAGCUGUUUGCGAUACACUGUAAGCGGCACAGCGAAAGCGUUAAGUGAUCCACCUGGGGAGUACGCCGGCAACGGUGAAACUCAAAGGAAUUGACGGGGGCCCGCACAAGCGGAGGAACAUGUGGUUUAAUUCGAUGAUACGCGAGGAACCUUACCCGGGCUUAAAUUGCAGAUGAAUUACGGUGAAAGCCGUAAGCCGCAAGGCAUCUGUGAAGGUGCUGCAUGGUUGUCGUCAGCUCGUGCCGUGAGGUGUCGGCUUAAGUGCCAUAACGAGCGCAACCCUUGCCACUAGUUACUAACAGGUAAAGCUGAGGACUCUGGUGGGACUGCCAGCGUAAGCUGCGAGGAAGGCGGGGAUGACGUCAAAUCAGCACGGCCCUUACAUCCGGGGCGACACACGUGUUACAAUGGCGUGGACAAAGGGAGGCCACCUGGUGACAGGGAGCGAAUCCCCAAACCACGUCUCAGUUCGGAUCGGAGUCUGCAACCCGACUCCGUGAAGCUGGAUUCGCUAGUAAUCGCGCAUCAGCCAUGGCGCGGUGAAUACGUUCCCGGGCCUUGUACACACCGCCCGUCAAGCCAUGGGAGCCGGGGGUACCUGAAGUGCGUAACCGCGAGGAGCGCCCUAGGGUAAAACUGGUGACUGGGGCUAAGUCGUAACAAGGUAGCCGUACCGGAAGGUGCGGCUG
rnacentral:rRNA from 1 species